rnacentral:rRNA from 2 species
UUCGGAGAGCCUGCACAGGUGCUGCAUGGCUGUCGUCAGCUCGUGUCGUGAGAUGUUGGGUUAAGUCCCGCCAACGAGCGCAACCCUUGUCAUUAGUUGCUACGAAAGGGCACUCUAAUGAGACUGCCGGUGACAAACCGGAGGAAGGUGGGGAUGACGUCAAGUCCUCAUGGCCCUUAUGGGUAGGCUUCACACGCCAUACAAUGGUCGGGACAGAGGGUCGCCAACCCGCGAGGGGGAGCCAAUCCCAGAAACCCGAUCGUAGUCCGGAUUGCAGGCUGCAACUCGCCUGCAUGAAGUCGGAAUCGCUAGUAAUCGCGGAUCAGCAUGUCGCGGUGAAUACGUUCCCGGGUCCUU